ACGCAAACCGUGCCAGGCUGGAAGACCGCGGCCCGCGCGGCGAGGUGCAGGGCUGCGGCGCCGGGGCCGGGGGCCGGGGGCCGGGGGCCGGGGGGCCGGGGGCGCUCCCCGGAACAAAGGCACGAUCCUGAGGCCGUUUCGCGGGCCGUCCCCCCUCCCCCCACCCCAGCGCCAGCUUUGUCUCCUCGCGCGUGCGAGGCUGAGACUCGGAGGAGCCCCCGAGCCGGAGGGGCCGGCGUGGGAAGCUGCCCCGGCCGCCGCUGCGGUUUCCUGCAGCGCGACGAGCCCUUAGAGGAAGUGGGAGGGCCGCGCGGGGCUACCUGCAGCCCGCCGAGCGGGGCUGGACCUGAACCCCGCGCCCCCGGGGCCGUCGUGCGCCGGGGCCCAGGCGGCUGGGAGGGCGGGGGGCUCGGCGCCCCGGCUGCGCGGAGGAGCUGGGGUCCCGGCCCAGCUGGGCCUCGCGCGCGCAGCCCCGCCGCCGGGCCCUCCCCCCGCGCCCCCCGCCGCCCCCGCCCCCGCCUCCGCCCCCGCCGCCCCCGCGCGCCGGCACUGGCUCGCGCAGGCCUCCUGCCCGGCCGUGGGCGGGGGGGCGAAGCCCGCGGGAGGCGCCCCGCCCCGCCCCGCCCCGCCCCUGCCCCGCCGCGCGCAGUCUCUCCCCCUGCCCGCCGGGGCGGUGGCGGUGGCGCUGCUGCUGCCGCGCGGCCUGCGAGGCCGGCACUCCCCUCCGCCCGGCUCCCUGCUCCUCCUUUCUCUCCCUCCCCCCUCCCCUCCCGCCUCCCCCCCUCCCGCCCCUCGCAGGCUCGCCAGCCCGAGCGAAGGUGGCGCGGCGGCGCGGGACGCAGCCUCGGCCCCCGCCGCGGCCCCGCGAGCCCGAGAGGACCCCCGCGCCCCGCCCCCCCGCCCCCCGCGGCCCCCCGCGCCGCCCGGGGGCGCCCCCGCCGCGGCCGCCCGGAGGAAGCGCGAGCCGGGGAGCGAGGGGCCGGCGGCGGGAAGCCGGGAGAGGGAGGAGAGCGCGGCUCGAGGGCCCGCCCGCCGCGGCGCCGAGAGGGACGGACGGAGGGACGGACGGACGGACGGACGGCGGCCGGGGACGGGAGGGGCGGGGCGGGGAGGGGGCCGCCCGCGAGCUCGCCCGGCCCCUCGGCGGCGGCCCCGGGGCGGCGGCGGGCGGAGGGCGCGGCGGGCGCUGUCGAGACAAUAACCCGGAGCCGGAGGCCUAGCGCGGCCGGGACCCCGCGCCCCGCGCCCCCCGCGCCCCCCUGCCCCCCCCGGCCCCCGGCCCCCGGCCCGGGCCCGCCGCCGCGGGGACGCACUUGCGCGCCGUGA
rnacentral:lncRNA from 1 species